rnacentral:ncRNA from 2 species
AGAGCCCGCUCGGGAGAGUCUCCGACUGCGAAAGCCGCUGGUCGGAGCGCCGAAGGAGCAACUCCUCCCCGGAAUCUCUCAGGCAUCCGUACCGUGUGGGGUAG